rnacentral:other from 1 species
GUUUGCUGCCGGACAGGCAGCUUAGAAA